GUGAGUUCCGGGGGGAGGGAGCUGCCCUGCCGCCUGGAAACCGUCGCCUGCUCUUAUCCUGCAGUCCCACAGCCAUCUCCGGGUGAUGGCGAGUGGGUGGCCUCAGCCUUCGGGGGACUCAGGGACUGCCGGAAAGGACAGUGGGAAGAAAAGAAGGGAGUGAUGGCGGGAAGGCAGGAGGAGGAUGAAAGGGGAAGAGAAGCAACAAAGAAAAAGGAGAAAUUGAAAAGAGGCUAAAGG
rnacentral:lncRNA from 1 species